AAGCGGCAAAAGCCCUUCGAGAUGUUCAAUUUGAACGCUCGACGCCUCCCUCUCUCUCUCAAUGGCGAGGAAAGGAAGGGUCCCAGACGUUCAACAGCCACGCUCGAACCCUAGCCCACACCAUUAUUUCCUUGAUUCCACCACCGACGCCUGCAAGGGGGGGGUUGGGGCGGCGGAUGCUUGGGUUGUAGCGGCGAUGGAGCGAUGUCUUUCCAAUUCCGGCCAGAGGACCCGUCCGACUAUGGUAAGCCCUCGACUCAGUGCUUCGUUGUUUUAUCCCACAAUGCCCCUCUCUCUGCGUUUUAUCCAGACCGCGAGGUCUCUGUCUCUCCUAAAAAAAAAUCGGUUCUCACUGCACGGUACACGUCUCCCUCUCUCGCAAUGGCGAGGAGGCAAAGGGUCGCCGAGGCUCUGGAGGUUGUACAACAACCGUGCUCGAACCCUAGCCGACACCAUUGUCUAUUUGAUGCGUGACGGCGUGAUUUGCCAGGGCGCAUAUGCCUGGGUUGUAGCGGCGACAGAGCAACGUCUUUCCUCUUCCGGCCAGAAGACCCGUCCGACUAUGCGUUUCUGUUUGAGCUCUGCCAUGAAGCUUUUCACAAGUUCAGCAUGGGGCUUUGUAUUGAGAGUUUGAGAAAGGGCGACCAAUGGAUGAACUUUAUACCAAUUUGAUCAUCACGGAUGCAAAACAAAUGAUAGUAGGAGGGUUGUCGAAGACUAUUGUAGACCAUCAUUCACUUGACAAACUGCUGCAAAGUGCCUUCUAUGUUUUUGGCAAUUUGAAGAACGUGGGAACUUUCAUGAGGGGCCGAGAGAGCAGGAUCAUAAUGUUAUCUAUGCUGUUGUUCAUAUUGACAGUGUAUUGGGAGCUGAAGAUGGUGCUAUGGUGAAGUAACUCAGGCUCUCCUCUUCCCAGUCAAGAUGUAUAGAUCCUGAACUCUGCGGCAACUCAAGGAAUGUCGUUAAAUCAGGCAAUCUCUCACCGUGUCGCAGGAUGACGGGUAGCGGAUGGUUGGGGAUCGAUAAGAAGUGCUCAAAGGGUGGAGGAUUAAACGUGCCAAAACUCUGCACUAAAUCUCAUGGCAAGUUCACUACAGGUUGUUCUCAGGUAAGAAAUCAGUUCCUCUGUUGUUCUCCAGUUUUCGAUUGAAUGGGUUGUUGAAAGGUGCUAAAAGCUCUGAUUUUAUGGUAUACAAUACUUAUAUUCUUGAUG